GACGUAGGGCGCGAGCGUUGUCCGGAUUUAUUGGGCGUAAAGAGCUCGUAGGCGGCUUGUCGCGUCGACUGUGAAAUCCCGCGGCUCAACUGCGGGUCUGCAGUCGAUACGGGCAGGCUAGAGUUCGGUAGGGGAGACUGGAAUUCCUGGUGUAGCGGUGAAAUGCGCAGAUAUCAGGAGGAACACCGGUGGCGAAGGCGGAUCUCUGGGCCUUGCCUGACGCUGAGGCGCGAAAGCUAGGGGAGCGAACAGG
rnacentral:rRNA from 1 species